ensembl:lncRNA
UCCCAUCUGACAGGCAUCAGGCUGUUCUGGUAGCCACAGACCCACAGAGCCUUGCCCUGGGACACUUCAUCAUUGUUGAUGGCAGCAGAGGGGCAGUCUGGCAGAAUGGCACCUGAUGUUGAAGUGCAUAUGAAGCAAAGGUGUGGAACUGAAUUCCUCCAUGGCAGAAAAAAUGGCACCCACUGACAUUCCUCAACAUUUACUGAACGUCUGUAGAGACCAAACAGUGGAUAUGAACACAGUGAGGUGGUGAGAGGUGCAUUUCAGCAGCAGCGAGAACAACAGAUCAAUCUCUGACAGUGCAGUGAGAUACUUCCUGAACACACAGCGAUCAAUAGGAUCUGUUUUGAGUAACUCACCAGGAAUGGGAGCAGAUAUGAUGGCAACCAAAAAGAGAUUUUUCAACAGAAGGACUUUUAAUUUGAAAAUGUAAUGUACUGAAAUUCUGUUCUGGGCGAGAUAAUCUUAACUUUAUCAUAUGAAACGGGAAAAAAUUCUGAAAACGUAACUGUUUUUCAGUCUUCUUUUUGUCUUGCUUUCCUUUUAAGAUUGCCUAUCAGUAUAAAAAUGUGAAUCUUCACAGAUGGUAUUUGCAAGUCCUAUACAAGAAAAAGCUGAAAUAAUCUUAAAAAACAAAAACCAACACCAUUUGUCAUUCAGUAUAACAAUGAGAUUUUUGAUGGUACUGCAUCAAAGCAGAGUAGCUACUGGAUUGUAAAAGAAAUCACAUUUGUGUUUUUGGAAAUCAUAGAUGGCAGGGUUUCAUAUUAAAUGAAAUCUGUUUUCACAACAGUUUUUUGUAUUUUUUUUUUUUCUGGUCAAAAGUAUCUCCUCAG